rnacentral:rRNA from 1 species
GAUGAACGCUGGCGGCGUGCCUAAUACAUGCAAGUCGAGCGAACAGACGAGGAGCUUGCUCCUCUGACGUUAGCGGCGGACGGGUGAGUAACACGUGGAUAACCUACCUAUAAGACUGGGAUAACUUCGGGAAACCGGAGCUAAUACCGGAUAAUAUAUUGAACCGCAUGGUUCAAUAGUGAAAGACGGUUUUGCUGUCACUUAUAGAUGGAUCCGCGCCGCAUUAGCUAGUUGGUAAGGUAACGGCUUACCAAGGCAACGAUGCGUAGCCGACCUGAGAGGGGGAUCGGCCAAACUGGAACUGAGACACGGUCCAGACUCCCACGGGAGGCAGCAGUAGGGAAUCUUCCGCAAUGGGCGAAAGCCUGACGGAGCAACGCCGCGUGAGUGAUGAAGGUCUUCGGAUCGUAAAACUCUGUUAUUAGGGAAGAACAAAUGUGUAAGUAACUAUGCACGUCUUGACGGUACCUAAUCAGAAAGCCACGGCUAACUACGU